UACGUAGGGCGCAAGCGUUUGUCCGGAAUUAUUGGGCGUAAAGAGCUCGUAGGCGGUUUGUCGCGUCUGCUGUGAAAUCCCGAGGCUCAACCUCGGGCUUGCAGUGGGUACGGGCAGACUAGAGUGCGGUAGGGGGAGACUGGAAUUCCUGGUGUAGCGGUGGAAUGCGCAGAUAUCAGGAGGAACACCGAUGGCGAAGGCAGGUCUCUGGGCCGCAACUGACGCUGAGGAGCGAAAGCAUGGGGGAGCGAACAGG
rnacentral:rRNA from 1 species